rnacentral:rRNA from 1 species
AUUGAACGCUGGCGGCAGGCCUAACACAUGCAAGUCGAGCGAGCGGCGGACGGGUGAGGCAUGUCUGGGAAACUGCCUGAUGGAGGGGGAUAACUACUGGAAACGGUAGCAAAUACCGCAUACCAUCCGGUGUGGCCAGGUGGGAUUAGCUAGUGGGUGGGGUAACGGCUCACCAAGGCGACGAUCCCUAGCUGGUCUGAGAGGAUGAUCAGCCACACUGGAACGGAGACACGGUCCAGACUCCUACGGGAGGCAGCAGUGGGGAAUAUUGGACAAUGGGCGCAAGCCUGAUGCAGCCAUGCCGCGUGUGUGAAGAAGGCCUUCGGGUUGUAAAGCACUUUCAGCUGGGAGGCGUUACCCGCAGAAUAAGCACCGGCUAACUCCGUGCCAGCAGCCGCGGUAAUUC